GGAAUUUUCGGCAAUGGACGCAAGUCUGACCGAGCAACGCCGCGUGAGUGAUGAAGUUCUUCGGAACGUAAAAUUCUUUUAUUUGGAAAAAACGUAUAGUGUAGGAAAUGACAUUAUAGUGAUGGUACCAAAUGAAUAAGCCCCGGCUAACUAUGUGCCAGCAGCCGCGGUAAUACAUAGGGGGCGAGCGUUAUCCGGAUUUAUUGGGCGUAAAGGGUGCGUAGGCGGUAAGUUAAGUCUAAGGUUAAAGUGCAGGGCUCAACCCUGUGAUGCCUUAGAGACUGGUUUACUUGAGUUUGGUAGAGGUAAGUGGAACUCCAUGUGUAGCGGUAAAAUGCGUAAAUAUAUGGAAGAACACCAGUGGCGAAGGCGGCUUACUGGGCCACAACUGACGCUGAGGCACGAAAGCGUGGGGAGCAAACA
rnacentral:rRNA from 1 species